AUUGAACGCUGGCGGCAUGCCUAACACAUGCAAGUCGAGCGGAGCGGCGGAUGGGUGAGUAAUGCCUAGGAAUCUGCCCGUUAGCGGGGGAUAACGUUCGGUACCGGGCGCUAAAACCGCAUACUCUCCGAUGAGCCUAGGUCGGAUUAGCUAGGUGGUGGGGUAAAGGCACACCAAGGCGACGAUCCUUAACUGGUCUGAGAGGAUGAUCAGUCACACUGGACCUAGAACACAGUCCAGAAUCCUACGGUAGGCAGCAGUGGGGAAUAUUGGACAAUAGGCGAAAGCCUGAUCCAGCCAUGCCGCGUGUGUGAAGAAGGUCUUCGGGUUGUAAAGCACUUUAAGUUGGGAGGCGUGACCAGCAGAAUAAGCACCGGCUAACUUCGUGCCAGCGGCCGCGGUAAUAC
rnacentral:rRNA from 1 species